rnacentral:rRNA from 1 species
UAAGACGAACCGUCCAAACGUUAUUCGGAAUCACUGGGCUUAAAGGGUGCGUAGGCGGCCCGGCAAGUUGGGUGUGAAAUCCCUCGGCUCAACCGAGGAAUUGCGCCCAAAACUGCCGGACUAGAGGAAGACAGAGGUGAGCGGAACUCAGGGUGGAGCGGUGAAAUGCGUUGAUAUCCUGAGGAACACCAGUGGCGAAAGCGGCUCACUGGGUCUUUUCUGACGCUGAGGCACGAAAGCUAGGGGAGCGAACGGGAUUAGAUACCCCGGUAGUCCUAGCUGUAAACGAUGAGCACUGGGCCGGAGGAUCCUCCAUAGUCUUCCGGCCGUAGCGAAAGUGUUAAGUGCUCCGCCUGGGGAGUAUGGUCGCAAGGCUG